CGUGAGACAGGUUAGUUUUACCCUACUGAUGAAGUGUUGUUGCAAUAGUAAUUCUGCUCAGUACGAGAGGAACCGCAGAUUCAGACAAUUGGCAUUUGCACUUGGCUGAAAAGCCAAUGGUGCGAAGCUACCAUCUGUUGGAUUAUGACUGAACGCCUCUAAGUCAGAAUCCGUGCUAGAACGCAACGAUAAUUACCUCCAGACAAUCUUAGGCGAACRASGAUAGAGGYCGSGCUYGCSYGGCCUCCUGCGUCYCAACGUGCCAAGRCGGRCAAYARCCGYCAAGGCACUAMAASMUAUCAAAGUUUAAAAUUUCUGGAGAUAAAUCCUUUGCAGACGACUUARAUAAAGAA
rnacentral:rRNA from 1 species